rnacentral:rRNA from 1 species
CAGUGUCUGGUGGGUAGUUUGACUGGGGCGGUCUCCUCCUAAAGAGUAACGGAGGAGCACGAAGGUUGGCUAAUCCUGGUCGGACAUCAGGAGGUUAGUGCAAUGGCAUAAGCCAGCUUGACUGCGAGCGUGACGGCGCGAGCAGGUGCGAAAGCAGGUCAUAGUGAUCCGGUGGUUCUGAAUGGAAGGGCCAUCGCUCAACGGAUAAAAGGUACUCCGGGGAUAACAGGCUGAUACCGCCCAAGAGUUCAUAUCGACGGCGGUGUUUGGCACCUCGAUGUCGGCUCAUCACAUCCUGGGGCUGAAGUAGGUCCCAAGGGUAUGGCUGUUCGCCAUUUAAAGUGGUACGCGAGCUGGGUUUAGAACGUCGUGAGACAGUUCGGUCCCUAUCUGCCGUGGGCGCUGGAGAACUGAGGGGGGCUGCUCCUAGUACGAGAGGACCGGAGUGGACGCAUCACUGGUGUUCGGGUUGUCAUGCCAAUGGCACUGCCCGGUAGCUAAAUGCGGAAGAGAUAAGUGCUGAAAGCAUCUAAGCACGAAACUUGCCCCGAGAUGAGUUCUCCCUGAGACUUAAAGUCUCCUGAAGGAACGUUGAAGACGACGACGUUGAUAGGCCGGGUGUGUAAGCGCAGCGAUGCGUUGAGCUAACCGGUACUAAUGAACCGUGAGGCUUAACCUUACAACGCCGAAG